UACGUAGGGCGCAAGCGUUUAUCCGGAAUUAUUGGGCGUAAAGAGCUCGUAGGCGGUUUGUCGCGUCUGCUGUGAAAGACCGGGGCUCAACUCCGGUUCUGCAGUGGGUACGGGCAGACUAGAGUGCAGUAGGGGAGACUGGAAUUCCUGGUGUAGCGGUGAAAUGCGCAGAUAUCAGGAGGAACACCGAUGGCGAAGGCAGGUCUCUGGGCCAUAACUGACGCUGAGAAGCGAAAGCAUGGGGAGCGAACAGG
rnacentral:rRNA from 1 species